GUUUGGAUUUGAUAUCCUGCUUUAUCACUCCCCUAAGGAGUCUCAAAGCAGCUAACAUUCUCCUUUCCCUUCCUCGCCUACAACAAACACUCUGUGGGGUGAGUGGGGCUGAGAGACUUCAGAGAAGUGUGACUAGCCCAAGGUCACCCAGCCGCUGCAUGUGGAGGAGCGGGGAAUCAAACCCGUUUCACCAGAUUGCGAGCCCACCGCUCUUAACCACUACACCACACUGGCUGCUUGCCUGGGGAUUGGGUCCAAAGUUCUCUUGCAUGUGUGGAAUUAGUCAUGUAGCUCUUUAUUUCCUGGUCACUAAUCAUCACUCCCUCUAAUUCCAGUUUUAGUUCCAUUGAUUAGGUAACCCUCACAAGAGGUAAAUAUCAGCAAGCCUGGGGGAAUGCCAGUGUUCAAAAGCAACUGCGUGUGCUUCGUGGCCACAGAAUGCUAACUGUUGUGCGGGAAUGGAAUAGAGAAGUUAGAAUGGCUGCUUACCCAGUCUCGAGGUGGGCAACUGUUGCGGCCCCAUCUUGGCAGGCUCUGCCCACCCCAGGGAGCAAUGUUGGCUCAGCGGCUGGCAUUUGUGGAAAUUCCCUGGCCAGUCGAUUGGGUUGGCAGACUUUGCCACCACCUGAUAUUUGAAUUCUGGCCAAUCCAGCCUCGCUGGGUGGGCAAGGCUUGGGAGCAGACCAGAUGGGCCCAUCCCCAGCCUAUAAAAGCCAGCUGUGCCCAACCCUGGGGACUGCAGUCAGCCAAAGAACACCCCUCCCUCUCGCCCUAUUCAGUAAUGCUGUGGAUUUUGUAUGCCAACUUUUUCUUCCCUCGGGCAUUGCGUAAUGGUUGCCAAAUAUGGAGCCAGGGAAAAAAUUGUUGCAAACAGAUUGGCCCCCUUCGAAGGUUUUGCCUUCCCCAUAGCCAUAGUCACAACUUUGGCAGAUAAGGCAUUGGGUGGAAUACUUUUCAUCUAACCUCGGGAGAAGGAUUGAAGCAGCGCAUCACCCACCCGCCCCAAAACAGUGCAAUAACAGGGUACCCCAUUAGAGGGGUCCAGUUGGAAGUCUCUGUCCAAAAGCCAAGGUGUGCGGCUGAUGGGCCACAGAGCUUCCUUCAGUGGCUUGAGAGGGCUCUCAGUGUAGUAAUAUUUACAUGUGUAUUAGGAUAAUAAUAUCAAACUUACAAAAGAAUGUAUGGGUUAGGGUAUUUUUCAUGUAUGUUCAUAUUUCUUUCUCUACACAUUUCUGUGCAUUUUUCUUUUUCUUUUCUUCUUCUUCUUUGUAUCACUUUAUUUCUUUAUAAUUGAAAACUUUUCAAUAAAAUAUUAAUAUAAAAAAACCACACAUGCCAGUGUGAGUUAAGCCAGCAUAAAGUUAUACAUAUCCCUGAUAGAAGGAAAGGAAGCCUUUUAAAAAGUGCUCUUUGCAGGGUUGCCAGGUCAUGUGACCAAGCAGACUGAGUUUCCAAUACUGUACAACCUUAAUCCCCUCUCUCUGGUCCCUCCGCCACCCGAAUGCUCCCACUUUUAGAUUUACACUAUCCUUGAAUUAGCAAAAAAACACACCUGCAUCCUAAACUGCUGAUAUCCACGGAUCUUGCCAUAGGUUUACCUCCUAAACACAUGUUGUAUCUCUACAUACCAUCCUUGCACUAAGAUGCAUAAGAUUAAUUUUGUUCACUGAACUAAAAACGGGAGGGGGGGAGGGAUUAUACCAUUUGUCAAAGUGGAGGGGCAACCUAAGUUUGUAUCUGGAUUGAUAUUAGACAGCAGGAAAUUAUUCUUGCAUUAGCCAUUUAAAGCACAUCUUGAAAUCUGAAUAUGAAGAAGAUUUAUAUCUAAAUGCAAUACUUUCUCUUGAUAUUUAUGCAGCAGUUUUCCUGGCACAACAGCAAUAGCUGUCUGUCGUAUAAACUCUGCUAUUUUAUGAAUUGUGUGCUCUAGGAGUUUCAUUUUUAUCCUUUCUGUACAUAUUGAGGCAUUUAUUACCAUGUGUACCAUAUUUAUUAAAAUGACUACUUGAUAGAAACCGAAUUGCAAAAGUGUGUGAUGUAACUAUGUUAUAGAAUCCACAGAAUCAUAGAAUUGUAGACUUGGAAAGGACCCCAAGAGUCCUCUUGUCUAACCCCUGCAAUGCAGGAAUCUCAAUUAGAUCAUACAUGAUAGAUGGUAAUCCAACCUCUGCUUAAAAACCUCCAAGGAUUAUUCAUUCAUUUCUCAAAUUUAUACCCCUUCCUCUGUGUAGGCAUGGCUUCCAAAGACUGAUUGAACCAAAUAUUUUGGCCAGUCAAACUGAUGAGCUGGUGAACUGUUUGCUUGUUUCUUACAUUGACGUUCAGAGAUAUGUGGCAUCUGAAGGAGGUUCAAUCUGCCCAUAGUGGGCAGAUCUACAUCAUGCAUUUAAAGCUCAUGACUUCUCCCAAAGAAUACUGGGAAUGGGUGUGCUUUAAGUGUGUGGUGUGGAUCUGCCCACAAUCCUAUCAUCCAUGAGUUUAUUUGUCUAAUCCCCUAGUAAAGCCGUCCAAGGUGGUAGUCAUGUGACUCAUCACAUUUUGCAGAGUUGUGUGAAGAAGUACUUUAUUUUUUGUCCUGAAUUCUUUGGGUGGCUCAGAGGUCAAAUAACAUGUUUUGUCAUGUUUGUGUUGAUUAUAUGUAAUGUAAAUAAAUUUGAGACUUGUUUUUAGUAAAAAGCAAUAUGAAAGUCUAAUAAAUCUAAUCAAGUUAGACUAUUAUGUAAAUAACAACAUCAUGCUAAAUAGACAGUUAUCUGUUGUGAUCCAUUAGAACAAUACACGUGCAUGCAAUCACUAGAAGUUAAUUUGUUUCCUGCUUGGCAGCUUCCAAACUGAACCACCAAAGUCCAUUGAGGGUGGGGUACUAGUUUAAUGGAGGAGCAGAAACUUUGUGUGCAAAAGAUUCCAGGUGCAAUCCUUGUCACCUCUGCAUGACUGGUAGAGAUCCGUCUGAAAUCCUGGAGAACCACCUCCAGUCAGUGUGUAAACAGAGCUGAGCUAGAAGGACCAGUGAUCUAUAACUCAUUAACAACAACAACAACCCGCCCUUCAUCCUAACAUCCUGGGGUGGCUUACAACAAUUUAAAAUACAACAUUAAUAACAAUUUAAAAUGAGACAGCUUCUUGUGUCCCAGUUCAGGAGAUCAGCCAAGAAACAAACCAUAGAGGAAUAACCUAGAUCCUGUCCCAAGUUUGGUUCAUGGACCAUUUUGAAUGGCAGCCAAUGCUUUGUCACAUAGUAUGCAAAUCCAGAGUUGGGCAGGCAUAACCUUUAUUAGACUAACCAAAAUGUCUCACAACAGGGGGAAAGCUUUCAAGUUCAGGAGAAUUCAGACACUUGUUCCCUAUCAUAAUAAAGACGUUUACCAACAUGUCUGCCUUUGCUUUCAGCAUCUCAUGAAGUAGCCAACUGUGUACCCUCUGCCUCAUGCCUCAGGCCCACUCACUCACCCACAUAAAAACACACCCAAAGAGAUAGUGCUCUGUGCAAUCGCCUGUGGAUCUUGAAAGGCAGCGUCUCUUUUUGGAACUCUAAGCCAGCUGCCUGAGCCCAGUAGCUUCUGUUCCAGUCAGGAAAGUCAUCUUGACAGGAGAUUCAACACUAAGCUAUGGAGAGAGUGGGGAAGCCCGGGGGGGGGGGUCUCCAUGUAACAGAAACAACUGGUUGCUAAUUCAUGGCAGACACAGGCCUGUCCCAAGUGUUUCUCCAUGCUGACUAGUAGUUUUGCAAAGAAACUUAUAGUUGUAAAGUUCAGGGAGAAAGUUCUGCUCCCAAAGAGUCCAGUUUGGGCAGCCAUCCCAUAACUACUUAACUUGAGAGUAAGCCCAUUAAACUCAGUGGAACUUUAUUCUGAGCAGCCAUGUAUGGAACGGCAGUGUAAAAUUGGCUAUUAUUAAACGGAAGCAAUUUAUCUCUUUUGUCUUAUUAUGCAAAUAACCUUCCAAAAUCGAGCUUAACAUGCAAUUUUUAUCCAAGAAUAUUUUUGUGUGAAGCUAUUCUGAAAAGAUUUGUAUCUUUAUAAUUAGGAAGGGCAAAUAUAUUAAGAAGGAUAAAAGGAUAAUUUUCUAAUCUCCUGUUAUGCAAAUUAGUUUAUAAUUUUUAUCAUUUACUUCAGAACUGGAAGAACAAUGGAGCUUUUGUUCACAUGCAAGGGAGUCUCCAUUGUCUGCUUGACAUGGUGCAACUGAAAAUUAUCUCAAGGCAAGUAUUAUUAAUGGCAUGAAGAGACUGUAAAUACAUAUCAAUUAGCUACAUGCACACAUAUUAAACUAGUAAAAGAAAAGUUCAUAUUUUACACACUAACUUUAGCUCUUAACCUCUUAGCCCUUCAGUUUCCAAGAAUGCAAUUUCUACCCUUCUGUGUUCCAUAUUACAGAACUCUGUACUUAUCUUAAAAGGUAAGGGAAAGGUACCCCUGACCGUUAGGUCCAGUCGCGGACCACUCUGGGGUUGUGUGCUUAUCUCGCUCUAUAGGCUGAGGGAGCCGGCGUUUGUCUGCAGACAGCUUCCGGGUCAUGCGGCCAGCAUGACUAAGCCGCUUCUGGCGAACCAGAGCAGAGCUCAGAAACGCUGUUUACUUAUCUUAGAUGAAGCUUAUUUCAUUAGGGGUUUUCCCCUCAACAUGUAUUUCAAAAUGUUAAGAAUAAACCUCAACAAUAAUUGAUAUAGCAUGUUCUACAUGUAUUGAGUAUUGAAGUAAAUUAUUAGAAAUCAAAAGAACAAUAUUGUUGGUGCGAUCACAAAACAUCCCCAGAGUGGAUUAUUAUUAUUAUUUUCUCGUUUUCUCAAAAUUAGCCAAUACGAAGGAGGAGUUAAGCAAGAAAGGAACAUAAAGGAGGUUUUCCCCUGCCGGAUAUACUAUGAGGCAUCCUGUCUGUUGGUUGAAGGAAUGGAUGACAUCAGAGAAUUCACAUAUUCUAGACUUAGAAGGUCAUUACUAUUUUUGGUUGGCACGCUUAUUUAUGGUAUGAAAAUGUGAAAGUUCAUAAAGGAUUUACAAAUCAUAUAAUUGGGGGGGGGAUGUACAAUGUAUAGGAUAAAUACAAGAAUUUAUUAGAGGUAAAAACACCACUUUAGCUCUCACCAUUGGAACGAUAGCGGUAAAGAAAAAGAAUAGGAUAGAAGGGUGGACAACUUACAGAAAUUUAUUAAAACAAGAGGGAGGAGAGUAUAAAUUAAAAGAAUUAAAGGAAUUAUCAGGGAAAUUAACAACAUGGAUACAAUAUCAUCAUUUGAAUGAAGUAUUUAAGAAAGGGUUUGGGGAACAAAUGAGGGUUUGGGGAACAAAUAUCGCAACUGGAGAGAGGCCUGUUGGAAUGUAAUGUAAAAGUGCUAUCUAAAAUGUAUAAAAUAUUAUUGGAAUGGGAGACAAAGGAUGAGCAAGUAAAAUCCUCAAUGAUACAUUGGGCAAUAGAUAUUGGUCAUAAUAUAGACAUGGAAGCAUGGGAACAAUUGUGGAAUAUGGAUAUAAAAUUUACAGCAUGCUAUGGUCUAAGAGAAAAUGAUAUGAAAAUGAUAAAAUGUAUAAAUCUAAAUCAAAUAAGUGUUGGAAAUGUAAAGAGAACGAAGGUUCUUUUUAUCAUAUUUGGUGAUCUUGUAGUAAGGUUGAAGCUUACUGGGAAAUAAUAUAUAAUGAAUUGAAAAGGAUGUUUACAAUAACGCUUGUAAAAAAACCCCAGAAGCUUUUCUUUUGGGAAUUAUAGGGACAGAACUACCUAAACUGUAUAGAAUCUUAUUCAUGUAUGCUACUACAGCGCCAAGAAUGUAACUCACCCCAAAAUGGAAAGAAGUCCCAGCAAAGGAAGAAUGGAUACAAAAACUUGUGGAAUAUGCAGAAAUGGCAAAACUUACUGGAAGAAUAAGAAAUCAAGAUAACUUUUUAUAUAUAUAGAAAAAUGGAAAUGGUUUGUUGAAUAUUUACAGAUAAACUGUAAACAGAUAAGAACAUUGGCAGGAGUAUUGUAAUAACCUGCAGUUUUAUAAGAGUAUAUAUUUAAAGUCGAUGAAUAAAUGAG
rnacentral:lncRNA from 1 species